CCUACGGGUGGCAGCAGUGAGGAAUAUUGGUCAAUGGGCGGAAGCCUGAACCAGCCAAGUAGCGUGCAGGAUGACGGCCCUACGGGUUGUAAACUUCUUUUAUAUGGGAAUAAAAUGUUCCACGUGUGGGAUUUUGUAUGUACCAUAUGAAUAAGGAUCGGCUAACUCCGUGCCAGCAGCCGCGGUAAUACGGAGGAUCCGAGCGUUAUCCGGAUUUAUUGGGUUUAAAGGGAGCGUAGGUGGAUUGUUAAGUCAGUUGUGAAAGUUUGCGGCUCAACCGUAAAAUUGCAGUUGAAACUGGCAGUCUUGAGUACAGUAGAGGUGGGCGGAAUUCGUGGUGUAGCGGUGAAAUGCUUAGAUAUCACGAAGAACUCCGAUUGCGAAGGCAGCUCACUGGACUGCAACUGACACUGAGGCUCGAAAGUGUGGGUAUCAAACAGGAUUAGAUACCCCGGUAGUC
rnacentral:rRNA from 1 species